AUACAAGAAUGGAAGGAUUUACCAGUGCUACUUUCUCAUAAUGAGAUCUGGCCACUCACCAAAAUACUUCUAACAAAGAGGUGGCAUUUUCCCUAACACUGGCAAAGUUGAUGAUUGAAGAUAGUGGAUCAGGAGUUAAAGGCUUCAUUUUUGAACUAAAAUAAAACCUUCAUGAUUGAUUUUAAGUGAAGAUGAAGAAGAGGAACUCAAACUGCUUUUGCUGAAAAGCACUGACUUCUUCUUGGGCCCAGGAAUUAGCCAUGGCAAGAGAAGCUUGGCAUCCCUGCCUCCAUUUUGUA